rnacentral:rRNA from 1 species
UACGGGGGGGGCAAGCGUUGUUCGGAAUUACUGGGCGUAAAGGGCGCGUAGGCGGACAGUUUAGUCAGAGGUGAAAGCCCAGGGCUCAACCCUGGAAUUGCCUUUGAUACUGGCUGUCUUGAGUUCGGGAGAGGUGAGUGGAAUGCCGAGUGUAGAGGUGAAAUUCGUAGAUAUUCGGCGGAACACCAGUGGCGAAGGCGACUCACUGGCCCGAUACUGACGCUGAGGCGCGAAAGCGUGGGGAGCAAACAGG